rnacentral:rRNA from 1 species
CCUACGGGAGGCAGCAGUGGGGAAUAUUGGGCAAUGGGCGCAAGCCUGACCCAGCAACGCCGCGUGAAGGAAGAAGGCUUUCGGGUUGUAAACUUCUUUUCUCAGGGACGAAGCAAGUGACGGUACCUGAGGAAUAAGCCACGGCUAACUACGUGCCUGCAGCCGCGGGAAUACGUAGGUGGCAAGCGUUAUCCGGAUUUACUGGGUGUAAAGGGCGUGUAGGCGGGAAAGCAAGUCAGAUGUGAAAACCAUGGGCUCAACCUGUGGCCUGCAUUUGAAACUGUUUUUCUUGAGUACUGGAGAGGCAGACGGAAUGCCUAGUGUAGCGGUGAAAUGCGUAGAUAUUAGGAGGAACACCAGUGGCGAAGGCGGUCUGCUGGACAGCAACUGACGCUGAGGCGCGAAAGCGUGGGGAGCAAACAGGAUUAGAUACCCCUGUAGUC